rnacentral:rRNA from 1 species
AGAGUUUGAUCCUGGCUCAGGAUGAACGCUAGCGGCAGGCUUAAUACAUGCAAGUCGAACGGGAUUCAGGGUAGCAAUACUUUGAUGAGAGUGGCGCACGGGUGCGUAACGCGUAUGCAACCUACCUUUAACAGGGGAAUAGCCCCGAGAAAUCGGGAUUAAUACUCCGUAACAUUGCGGGAUGGCAUCAUUCUGCAAUUAAAGAUUUAUCGGUUAAAGAUGGGCAUGCGUGACAUUAGCUAGUUGGUGAGGUAACGGCUCACCAAGGCAACGAUGUCUAGGGGUCCUGAGAGGGUUAUCCCCCACACUGGUACUGAGACACGGACCAGACUCCUACGGGAGGCAGCAGUAAGGAAUAUUGGUCAAUGGGCGCAAGCCUGAACCAGCCAUGCCGCGUGCAGGAAGACGGCCCUAUGGGUUGUAAACUGCUUUUGUCAGGGAAUAAACCUGUCUACGUGUAGGCAGCUGAAGGUACCUGAAGAAUAAGCAUCGGCUAACUCCGUGCCAGCAGCCGCGGUAAUACGGAGGAUGCAAGCGUUAUCCGGAUUCAUUGGGUUUAAAGGGUGCGCAGGCGGAUUGUUAAGUCAGGGGUGAAAUCCUACAGCUCAACUGUAGAACUGCCCUUGAUACUGUCAGUCUAGAGUAUAGUUGAAGUGGGCGGAAUGUGUCAUGUAGCGGUGAAAUGCUUAGAUAUGACACAGAACACCGAUCGCGAAGGCAGCUCGCUAAGCUAUAACUGACGCUCAUGCACGAAAGCGUGGGGAUCAAACAGGAUUAGAUACCCUGGUAGUCC